UACGGAGGGGGGCUAGCGUUGUUCGGAAUUACUGGGCGUAAAGCGUACGUAGGCGGUUUUGUAAGUUAGAGGUGAAAGCCCGGAGCUCAACUUCGGAAUUGCCUUUAAGACUGCAUCACUUGAACGUCGGAGAGGUGAGUGGAAUUCCGAGUGUAGAGGUGAAAUUCGUAGAUAUUCGGAAGAACACCAGUGGCGAAAGGCGGCUCACUGGACGACUGUUGACGCUGAGGUACGAAAGCGUGGGGAGCAAACAGGG
rnacentral:rRNA from 1 species